UUAAUUCUAGGCCUGCCAGUGCAUGCUGGCAAGCUGAAAACAGUGAAAUUUUAAUAAGGCAAAAUGCAACAUACGGUACAUUGGACCUACUGAAUACAUGCUAGGGUGCCUUUCAGUGUUACAAAUGCACUGGUACAUUUCUUGUGCUGCCAUAGUGCCAUAAGGGCUAAAUCUCCCUUUAUACCUAGCACACCAGCAUUGCCCAUUCCCCUUUUUAAUUAGAAGGUACGGACACACAUUUACUAUGAUGAUGGUAUCACGAGAGGAAAAAAGAGACUCUUUUAAACCUAAAGCUGGUACUGUAGGGCACCUAAUAGUAUUUCUAUAACACAAGCAAGGCCUUUGAAGCGCAGGGGCAGGGAUGUUAAACAAAUGCAUUACAUGAAGCAAUACUUCUAUUUUAUAAAGCUGAAGAAGACUGACAAGCAUUGAUCUUACAGAGCAUGUAAUAACCACUGUAGACCAAAGGGCAAGAGUAGAACAUUGCAAAACAUUAGUAAGUCAAUGGAUUUGAUUAAACUUGCAUCAACAUAUUCUGAAAAGAAAUUUUUCUUACCUCUUUAAGAAAGGCAAAUGGUCCUGUGCUGUCUAUGGUGUUGUUUGUAGCACAUAGGUACGUAAUCCCAUUAACAAGCAGGGCAUGGUACACAAAGCUUAGAAAAGAUAUAUUAAUAGAAUGAGUAUUAUUAUUUAAACUUCUAACUUGUGUCAUAUACUAAUGAGCCAAAAUCAGUGAAAGAAAAGGAAUGUAAUUAAGCAUUUACAAUCAGCAUCGCUGAACUGAACAAUAAAACAAUAUGCUCUUCCAAAGCAAAACCAUAAAGACUUGAAUAAACUCUACAAUAUUACAAAAGUGCUUCUGGAUGACUUGGUAUUUUACAUACAGUAGAAACUCCUUUAUAUCCCACUUGAGAUGGAGUUUUAAUAAUUACAUAUCAAAGAAAACCAAAUUUUAAGUGGAUUUGUGUAAAUUUAGUGCAGAGGAAAGUGAAGAGCUAACAGUUACGGCUAGAGGCAGUAUAGUAUGACAUAGGUGUUGAACAAGUUCACACAGUGCAUCUCCCUGUAGAUUACAAAAAUUUUCAUUUCACGUCUAGCUCCCUCUUGAGCAGAGACUGCUAAUCACAUCAAGUGUAUGUGUCUUUGUAAUGACUCCAUUAGGGUAAUUAUAAAAUGAGUGGCAUGAAAUAAGACCAGUAUCUUUUUUUUUUUUUAAACUUAUGUUGGAAGAUUACACUUGAACCUCUAUUAUCUAAAAUCCUCACUCUGCAGCAGUCAGUUCUACAGCAAAGAAUUUGACCUGUUUUUAAAAACCCAAGUUGCAACCAAGGCUUUACCUUCCAAUGUGAGCUGUGGUUUUUUUCAAGCCUUUGUGAAGAACUAAAUUUACCACUGAUGAAGCAGCAUCCUAAAAUUAAACUACUGAGAAUUAGUCUUUUGUUCACGAGAAAUGAAUGUAAUGUUUAUAAAUAUCAGCAAUAUUUAGCAGCAGGUUGAAACAGCACAUUUCUGAAUGAGGGUUUAUACUUAAAAGGUAUUAUAGCUGAAUGAAGUUUAAUUAAGCAUGUUUAUUGCUUCGAAACAAAGAGCUGUUUCAAUAAAAGAACAAAAAAGUGGAGUACUCCCUAAACUUUGUUUCUGCAGCGAAUAAGCUUGAUGCCUUUGUGACUACUAUGGAGGUUGUACAUAUCACAAAACUACCCCAAAAUGUAUAGUAUAAACUGGAUGGAUAUCGCUAUAGCUCCAUAUCUAUAUCGUCACAAAGGCAUCAAGCUUAUACAUAGCAGAAACCUCUCUAAAAUUGAUAUAUGUAUAUGUAUAUAUUUGCUGAAUAUUGUUAUCAGAACUGCUGAAUGAAACAACUGGACUCCAAUAACAAUGAUUGGGUUCUAAAGCAUCAUGUUUUAGGAUGUGGGAGGAAUCAGCUUGAUAUUCUAAAAUCAAGAUUUCAUAUGAUCUGGCAUUUCUAGCACAGGGGCUAUAGUGGAAAAAAGAGACAACUGGGUAUCCCAAACUGACAGCACAAUUAGCAGUGUGAUUCCUAUUUACUUAGUCUUUGUAAAUGAAAUAUACAAGGUAACUGAAGUUUGCAGCAGAAAGUUUUUUUUUUGUUUUUUUGUUUCUUUAAGAUCCACUGCUUUUUACAGUGCCAUAAACUGUAACUGGUUCGGUCAUAAAGAUUAUAAACUGAAAAACCAUAGCUGCAUGGUGAUCGCAAAUAAAACAGCACUUCUAGGAAACACUGCAACAAUAUUUUUCUUUCAAAUUGUUCUGCUCCUGAUUAAUGGCUUAUAUGAGUAAUGUUAGCUCUGUUUUUUGUUCACCAUUUAAAUAACAUUUAUGGGCCAGAUUAAAAAAAAAAAAGGUACAACACUCAAAGUGUGCCAGUGGGAGCUGCUGGGUGCUGUUUUUUUUUGUUUUUUGUUUUUAAAUCUGGCCCUAAUUGUGCUUGCUGAGCAUUUGUAAAUCUCAACCCAGGGCUUAGUUAACUGCCUGAUGCAACGUUGCUAUUUGAAUAAAGCAACACUUGCUUGUACCCUCUGUCAAACAUUAAACUCUGAUACAAGUAAUAUUUUUUUCAUUUCAAGUUUUCUGACAUUCCCUUCUGCUUCUGGAUCUGGUGCAAUGGGCACUUUACAUAAUACCAGUCUGAUGACAUGAACUAUUUGCAAGGAGGGAAGCCAGACAAAUAUUUUCACGUUGCAGAGCAAACACCAAGUCCUAGACAUGGCACGAUUCUGCAAGGUGCUGGCAAAGCCUGUUGCAUUGAUCCUGUAGUCAGUAAAGAGCGAUCAUGGCCAGGAACCAGGGCUGAGCAGGAGACAGUAAACAGGCCUUUCAACAAAACAAAAAGGCAACAACAGAAAUGCUGAGGCUGCCCACAUACUGAUCAGAAUGGAGGGAGAGGAAGCGUUGAAUAUCAUUGCCUUAGUAUGUAAAUAUCUCGGGAAAGGGCACACAGAUAAGAGAAAUGUCAGCAGCUUCCCCGAUCAGCAGAUGGGAUACAAAGCCUUCUGAAGGACUGAGUUGUGCUGAUUUAUCUUUGUGUCUUUUUCUUUUUUUAUUCCAUUAGAUGUCCAAAAGAUUAUAUUUACUGUGAUUUAUUUUCCUUUUAUGGACAAUAAAACAAUUUUUUCCUUUC